UAUAGAGGUUGGAAGGCUAAAUUCGCGACGUCGCAACGCCUUCAUGACCAACAUCGUGUUGG
rnacentral:sRNA from 1 species